rnacentral:rRNA from 1 species
GUCCACGCCGUAAACGAUGGGUGCUAGAUGUUGCUGGUAUUGACCCCGGCUGCGUCGAAGCUAACGCGUUAAGCACCCCGCCUGGGGAGUACGGCCGCAAGGCUAAAACUCAAAGGAAUUGACGGGGCCCGCACAAGCGGUGGAGCAUGUGGUUCAAUUCGACGCAACGCGAAGAACCUUACCUGGGUUGGAACCCCUCAGAAGUCCGCAGAGAUGUGGAUGUGCUCGCAAGAGAACUGAGUGUCCAGGUGCUGCAUGGCUGUCGU